AUUCAACUUCCUGCCUGCCGGCCGCAGGGCCUGGUUCCCAGCCUGUCAACCUUGGCACCCCAGCACCCCAGUGGGAGGGGUUUCUGCUUGUGAUCCCCUGGCCACCAGCCUUGACCAGCUGGUUGCGGACCAGCUGUGACCUGUGGCAACCCAGCCAACCUCACCAUCCAGUGGGCUGCAGCCACCUCUCUCCAGUGAGGUCUGAGCCCCAGCCUUAAGGAGGCUACCCCCUUCCAGGGUCUGUCUGUGUUACCCAGGCUGGAGUGCAGUGGUGUGAUCUCUGCUCACUGCAGGCUUGACCUCCCAGCAGACUCAAGCAAUCCUCCUGCCUCAUCCUCCCGAGUAGCUGGGACUACAGGUGUGCACCACCACGCCCAGCUAAGAUCUUUUUUAAAAUGCUUAAUCCAGAAGUCAUUACAAACAAAUACUAGAUCUUAUUUAUUCUAUCUAACUAUAUUUCUGUAUGCAUUAACCAUUCUGCCUUCCCCUCCUCCACUACCCUUCCCAAUCUCUGGUAACCAUCCUUCUACUCUCUGUCUCCAGGAGUUCAACUGUUUUUCAUUUUUGGCUCCCACAAAUAAGUGAAAACUUUUGAAGCUUGUUUCUGUGUCCAGCUUAUUAGCAUCAUGACCUCGAGUUCCAUUCAUGUUGUCACAAAUGACAAGAUCUCAUUCUUUUUUAUGGCUGAAUAGUACUCCAUUACAUAAAUGUACCACAUUUUCUUUAUGCAUUCAUCUGUUUUUUUUGUUUUUGUUUUGUUUUGUUUUUGUUUUGAGAUGGAGUCUCCACCUGUCACACAGGCUGGAGUGCAGUGGCAUGAUCUCAGCUCACUGCAACCUCCGUCCACCUCCCAGGCUCAAGCGAUUUCUCCUGCCUCAGCCUCCCAAGUAGCUGGGAUUACAGGCGCCCGCCACCAGGCCCAGCUAAUUUUUGUAUUUUUAGUAGAGACGGGGUUUCACCAUGUUGGCCAGGCUGGUCUUGAACUCCUUACCUCAAGUGAUCCACCUGCCUCAGCCUCCCAAAAUGCUGGGAUUACAGGCGUGAGCCACUGCGCCUAGACAAUUUUUACUUUUUUUUUUUUUGAGACAGAGUCUUGCUCUGUCGCCCAGGCUGGAGUGCAGUGGCGCAGUCUCGACUCACUGCAAGCUCUGCUUCCCGGGUUCCUGCAUUACAUCUGCCUCAGCCUCCUGAAUAGCUGGGACUACAGGCGCCACCACCAUGCCCAGCUAAUUUUUUGGUAUUUUUAGUAAGAGCGGGGUUUCACCAUGUUAGACAGGAUGGUCUCAAUCUUCUGACCUCGUGAUCUGCCCGCCUCGGCCUCCCAAAGUGCUUGGAUUACAAGCAUGAGCCACCGCACCCGGCAAUUUUACUAUUUUUAUGUUUUAUUUCCAAAAGCUCUUGAACUUUUUACUAUUUAUGUGCAAAUUCUUUUUUUUUUUGAGACGGAGUUUCACUCUUUCUGCCCAGGCUGGAGUGCAAUGGCAUGAUCUUGGCUCACUGCGACCUCCGUGUCCCGGGUUCAAGCGAUUCUCCUGCCUAGCCUCCCAAGUAGCUGGGAUUACAGGCGUGCACCACCACGCCCAGCUAAUUUUGUAUUUUUAGUAGAGAUGGGGUUUCACCAUGUUGGCCAGGCUGGUCUCGAACUCCUGACCUCAGGUAAUCUGACCGCCUCGGCCUCCCAAAGUGCUGGGAUUAUACGUGUGAGCCACUGAGCCCCGCCAUACUGAUAAAAUUUUUAAAUUGCACACGAUAAGACAACAUUCCCGUUGUUACCCCAACGACUUAGUGAGGGGGUGGGUGCCUGCCACUGAGCUAGGCAUGAGGGAUAGAGAAAUGCCCUUUAUGACCUCAAAUUCCAAAAGAAAGGUGAGACAAAUAUAAACAAAAACAACACACCGCUCUGGGAGCUCAGAGGGACUCAGUAAUACAGGAUGUUCCAAAUAACUGAUACUUGGGCUUGAAGAACGAAAAAGUAGAGAAUUGUAAGAGAAUUCUAUGUGAACAGUGCUUGUAUGGAAGAGUUGAAUAAGGGUGUUACAGUAGGUAGCUAGUGAGACAUGAGCCAGGCAGGAGUGCUGCCCCAACCCCACCACCAGGAAUGUCAGGCAACCAUCAGGUGAUGGUCAGGUGGUUGUUAAACUUGUCUCUAAAAUAGUAAUUGGUUACAGCCAGCACCAGGGAAAGGCAGUCUCUCAAUAGAUGGAAAACACUUGAAACUGGUGAUCAGCAGCUUCUCGAUAAGAUCUCACAAGUUGGAGAAGUGCACCAAGAGGCAAAAUGGUGUUUAAUGGUACAUGCCCUUCCUCCAGGAAUGCUAGACCCGUAAGGGAAGACUGCCUCAAGUAGGCAUGUGCACAACUUCAGUAUACUGAACACACUGUGCUUGUGGCCCCUCCAAGUGCUGGCAGGCCACUGUGCAUGUGGACAGUCCACGCCAAGGUAAGAAUCAGGGGAGAAGAGAUGCAAACCCUAAACCCCUGGAAGCAUGCCAAUGUAUGAAACUCCAAGUCAAAGGUCAAACCAGGGACUUGAAUCUGUCAAGUCAUUCACUUGGCCCUCUUCCAAGUGUACUUUACUUCCUUUCAUUCCUGCUCUAAAACUUUUUAAUAAACGUUCAUUCCU